UCGAGAAUGUGCGAUGACGAAGCAUCGGCAUCACUUCACGGCCAGCACCACAGCGUCCCGCACACACAUACACAGCCAACCAGGCAUACACUAGAACCAACAGGAUGGGCACCUUUUUGUCCCGGCAAGAAGAACUUUUCCUCCGCCGGCAGUGGCCAGAGUUGCUCGAGGCGGCCAUGGCAGCAGACACGGCCGCACUCUCGGCUGACGCGACAAGCGGGCGUGGUGACGGCGGCAAACCCCGGAGCAUGGGCGACGCAGCGCCACAGCAAAAACGUGCGGGGCGAGUCAAGAAAGGGGACUUCCGCCUCUCCUUUCAGGAGUGGCAAGCCUUCCUGUCAGUGUUAGAGCUGCAGAGUUUCAAGUCGAGCGGCGCCCCCUCCGACCUAUGCGCUUCCCUCUCCCCGGCGCAGCUGCAUGUGCCUGCUGUGGCCCUGAUGGUGCACUUGUGCGUGUGGUGGAGAGGAGCCAUUUCCGCUGGCGUGCUGGGUGAGCGCGUCGAGCAGCUAGUGCGGCUUGUGGCGGACGUGCAACAUCCCGGAGAGCAUAACACGGCGAGCACGUGCUUGAGCAGCGGCGCCCGACCCAGUGCAGGCAGUCACGACGUUGCCGACGUCGGACAGGGGUCUGAGGACACCCCAAGUAGUCGCCGUGCAAGGCUGGCGCGCUUUGUGAAGCAGCGCAUCGUUGAGCGUUCCAAGCGCGGCUCAAGCCCCUCCGCCGCCGCCGCCACGGCCGAAGACGAAGAGGAGCUGUCACUAGACACCUUCGCGGACAUGGUGGGACUGACACAGCAGCUACUAGAACAGGAAGGUGUGCUAACUACUGGCACCACAGGUGCCACUGAAACCUCCAGCGCGCAGGGCAUGCGCACCUUUGAGCUUUACGACGAGAAGAUCAACAACGCUGAGGCACUCAAGCAGCGUCCUAUCUUGGCGGUUGUGAUGGUACUGGUGCUCGCUGUGUACGCUAGCAAGAUUGUAGCGCGCCCAGAGCUCGCCGCGCGCAGCGUGGCGCACUUGGAGGCUCUUGAGAAGAUGAUGGUGCUGGGCAGCAGUGAUGGCAAUCGGAGCGGAGCUGCUACUGUUGCCCUCCCUCGUCCGACAACGUCGUCGCCAUCGACACUGGCCGCGCUUUGGCCCCUGACGGGUGAGCUUGAAGUAGCCCUCGUGCAUCGCCAGCACGAAGCCGACGCCGCGCGCUGCUCCUCCAACGAAGGCGAAGAACUUCGCUCCACGCUUCAGCACAUGCAUGAGAAGCGGAUGUCGCUUCAGCAAGACAGCUCAGCCGCGAAGGACGCGACCCCGAGCGAGAGAUGGGCAGCCGGGGCCUCGCAGUACAUUGGCCAGCGCCCAAUCUGGGCUGCCCUGCGCUCCCACUUUCUCUCAGCCGGUGUCUUCGAUGCAGACAAGCCGACAGUGCUGGUGUUCUUCGGCCCCUCCGGCUACGGCAAGUCGGAGUUGGCAAAGCGGGUGGCCAGCGUGCUGCACGGAAUUCCAAUGCCAGAGCUCGAGGCCUCCGGCAAAAUGGUGUACAUUCACAUGCCGUCCUUCUGCACCAAAGACAGCAUCUAUUCUCUCGUCGACCCGCCAGCCGCUCAUGUCGGCAGCGGUAUCCUCCUCUCCGCCCUGCAGAAGCACCCGGACGCCGUCGUGGUGCUGGACGAGUUCGAGAAGAGCACGGCGGAGGCUAUUAACAACCUGUGGCUGUCCGCCUUUCAAAAGAACGGUGUGCUGCGUUCGCUGAAGGAGGCGAGCCGAUCCGUCUCCACGGUGCGCGCAACCUUCAUCCUCACCUGCAACAUCGCGGCGGAGGGCAUUGCGGCUAGCGAACGCCUCUACCUCAAUGCGUCCCCGGCAGAUCAAGAGAGGAUUCGGGCGCUUUUCCAGUUGCAAUGCAAGAACGUGUGCCAGGAGACCAUGGGGGACCCUUUCGUCAACCGCGUGGAUCACUUCUUCCCCCUCAUGCCCUACACACGUGCUGAGCGGCGGCAAUUUGUGUGCCUCCUGCUCGAGCGACUUCUGACGAGUCAGGCUGAGAAGGGACGCACCAUCUACGCUACACCGGGGUUUGUGGAUGUGAUGGUGGAGCGCCUCCACACCUUCCACGCCGCCACGCUGGAGGUGGCUGUGCGGACGCAAGUCGUGCGGAUGGCACACGAAGGGUGGACGUCUGGGGUGCUCACAGUUGAGCGCCGUGUCGCCGGUGGCACCGUGGCGGUGCUGCUGCCUGCGACAAGGUCGGAGCUCAUGAAGCACACGACACCCGCCUCUUCAUGCCCAGCGUCGACCACGGGUGGUUGUACUGCUGCCCGCUUGAGCAACGACGGCAGCGACGACCUCGCCGACGUAGGCGGCCGCUCGCUUUUGGUCGAGGCGUGGGAGUCGCUGCCUGGUGGUCCGCAAUCGCUGGCGCAGUGGGCGGUAGCGGGGGGAAGAGAUGGUCGCGCAUCUAGGACCGCGGACGAGGACGACACCUUGAGUCCACCGAAAGUGACUCUGGCGCCUUCGACGGACCGGCGAGACACCAGCCUGUCUUCCGCGGCACCCUCCACCACAAUGUUGCCGACACCCACGCCAAGCUGUGCUGCGCCGCCUGCCGUCAGCGCACCCGCUUUAGAGAAGGAAUACAAGUACGAGUGUUUUACCGACAAGGUUCGCAUUCUGGAGCUGCAGAAGGAGCUGGAUACGAUGCGGGAACUGCUGAAGCAGCGUGACUUGGAGAUCGAUACACUGAAGGACAAGAUCUUGCUGCUGCAGAGGGCGCUCGCGUUGGUGCUCCUUUCACUGCUGGGUUGCCUCUUCCUCAUGUCGCUCAUCAUUGGGCUUAAGUUGACGCUGCUCUUUGCCUUGGUCAUAGCAGGCUGUCUCGUGUUUGUGCUCGGUGUUCCUCUGUCUUUCCUGCUCGACGCCGUGCGCGGGCUCUUCCACUUGCUGGGUCCCUACAAGGCCGGAGGGCUGCUCCUCCUUCUGAGUGCGUGGCUGGCGCGGGCAUCUCGGUCGGCCGCGUCGUGCUCGUAGGGAACUCACAGGCAAAGAUGCGGCGCAAUCAAGGUGGAAGAAUGUCGAUGCUGCUAUGCUUUUUCUUUGCGUAUAUGUGUGCAUGUGUGUGUGUGUGUGUACUUGGAGUUUUUUUUUUGCCGAGAACACCGAUACAUACCACCAUCACCACCCUCGCAACAGCAACGAAACUAGUACGGCUACGCACAAACUGCAUCAUCGCCGGCGACGCUCCCUUCUCUCUCCAUCUGGUAUUCUACAGGUUUGCCCACGUGCAGUCCAUAACGGUACACGAGAGAGUGAUGAGGGCAUCAAGUGCAGGGACGCACCAGCAGCGACCGAGUGAGCCAUGGAGCGUGCUUCAGUGCCCAGGCAGCCUCCUUUCUCUCCCCUUUCCACUUGCUUUCGGCUUUCUGUAUUGCUUUUCGUGUGUCGCAAG
rnacentral:misc_RNA from 1 species